GGUCUAAUAGUGUAGAGGUUAGCACAUGGGAUUUUGAUCAAUGGCUGUAUAGAUGUCUAAGAUUUCCCAUAACCCAGGUUCGAGUCCUGGUUAGACCU
rnacentral:tRNA from 1 species